rnacentral:rRNA from 1 species
UACGUAGGGCGCGAGCGUUGUCCGGAAUUAUUGGGCGUAAAGAGCUCGUAGGCGGUGUGUCACGUCGGCCGUGAAAGUCCGGGGCUCAACUCCGGAUCUGCGGUGGGUACGGGCAGACUAGAGUGCAGUAGGGGAGACUGGAAUUCCUGGUGUAGCGGUGAAAUGCGCAGAUAUCAGGAGGAACACCGAUGGCGAAGGCAGGUCUCUGGGCUGUAACUGACGCUGAGGAGCGAAAGCAUGGGGAGCGAACAGG